CACUCUCCUGUCUUUCUCUCACUCUUCAUUUUGUGUAUUGUUUGUAUUAUUUGUAUGCCAUGUCCCUCAACCCUGAAGUGAGGGUCUUUGAGGAUCCCAAUGAGGCCACGGUGCACAUGGCAUCAUUGAUUAGCGAGGCUCAUCUCCUUGAGGCCAGGACUGCCAUGGCCACGGAAACCCCUGCCAUCCCUCCGGAAAAGAAAAGAAAAAGCAGGAAGAGACCUCUUUCUAAUCCAGUGGUCACACGCAGACGUGAGAGACAAUGGGAAACACAACGCCCCGCAUCAGCUUCACAAGCCAGAAGAGACGAUCCUGUGC